GGGGGCGCAAUGGCUUUCGACGGGGAUUGUAAGGCACAGUAAGCGAGCAGAGGUUGCGAAACCGCUUUAAAAAAUCGCAAUUUAAAAAUAACUAACAACAAAACUGUUGCUUACGCAGCCUAAUUAGGCUGCGUCGUCUUGCCUGAGAGUACCGCGGCUCAGGUUGGGCGUCGAUUAGCGGUGCACGUGAAUGUUGGGGUGCUUCGGCCAACAUCAUGAUUUAGGAGCUACCGCAGCGCAAAGCCUGAUAAUCGGCGUUGCGUGAGGGGAAUCUUAAAAGAUUAUCUGCGCUCGGAGAAGGCUGUGUUAAGCGGUUUUCGGACAGGAGUUCAAUUCUCCUCGCCUCCACCA
rnacentral:tmRNA from 1 species